rnacentral:rRNA from 1 species
GAUGAACGCUGGCGGCGUGCCUAAUACAUGCAAGUCGAGCGAACGGACGAGAAGCUUGCUUUUCUGAUGUUAUCGGCGGACGGGUGAGUAACACGUGGAUAACCUACCUAUAAGACUGGGAUAACUUCGGGAAACCGGAGCUAAUACCGGAGAAUAUUUUGAACCGCAUGGUUCAAAAGUGAAAGACGGUCUUGCUGUCACUUAUAGAUGGAUCCGCGCUGCAUUAGCUAGUUGGUAAGGUAACGGCUUACCAAGGCAACGAUGCAUAGCCGACCUGAGAGGGUGAUCGGCCACACUGGAACUGAGACACGGUCCAGACUCCUACGGGAGGCAGCAGUAGGGAAUCUUCCGCAAUGGGCGAAAGCCUGACGGAGCAACGCCGCGUGAGUGAUGAAGGUCUUCGGAUCGUAAAACUCUGUUAUUAGGGAAGAACAUAUGUGUAAGUAACUGUGCACAUCUUGACGGUACCUAAUCAGAAAGCCACGGCUAACUACGUG